rnacentral:rRNA from 1 species
AUUGAACGCUGGCGGCAUGCCUUACACAUGCAAGUCGAACGGUAUCAGGUCUUCGGAUGCUGACGAGUGGCGAACGGGUGAGUAAUACAUCGGAACGUGCCUAGUAGUGGGGGAUAACUACUCGAAAGAGUGGCUAAUACCGCAUGAGAUCUACGGAUGAAAGCAGGGGAUCGCAAGACCUUGUGCUACUAGAGCGGCCGAUGGCAGAAUAGGUCAGGUGGUGGGAUAAAAGCUUACCAAGCCGACGAUCUGUAGCUGGUCUGAGAGGACGAUCGGACACACUGGGACUGAGACACGGCCCAGCCUCCUACGGGAGGCAGCAGUGGGGAAUUUUGGACAAUGGGCGAAAGCCUGAUCCAGCAAUGCCGCGUGCAAGAUGAAGGCCUUCGGGUUGUAAACUGCUUUUGUACGGAACGAAAAGCUAUGGGUUAAUACCCUGGGGUCAUGACGGUACCGUAAGAAUAAGCACCGGCUAACUACGUGCCAGCAGCCGCCGUAAAAC